rnacentral:tRNA from 1 species
AAGGUUUUAAGUUAAAAUUAAACUCGUAGCCUUCAAAGCUAUAAAUAAAGGUGUCUUCUUUAAGCCUUA